rnacentral:lncRNA from 1 species
AUGGUGGCUGUGUCUGGCACCGAACAACUAUUUAGACUUAUUUUGCCCAGUAAAACUGAGGGUGCAAAGCAGGAUGGGAAAUAGGACUCUAGUCCAGAAAUAAAUCAGUUUAUGUCAACAGACUUAACUCUUCGUGGUCACUUCUUUGUUCAUCUGAGUCUGGCUGAACUAGGAUUUUAAUCACACACAAACUUGGAAUACAGAGGGGGAAAUGCUGGAAGAGCUAAGGAUCUCAAAAGAUUCCCACUGCAUGCACCUUACCCCAGGAAAGAAAAACCCACACAUACCAGCGUCUCUCUGACACCUCCCUGAGAUAAGGUCUGGUUCAGCAACCAUCCUGACAAGGGAAACCCAGAUCGCAUCCUGGAAUGCCAGUUCUGAGAAGGAAGGGUCUCACCGGAGUGCGGGAGCAUAAUAGUUUCUUUCUGGUCAUCAAGCCUAC